rnacentral:misc_RNA from 1 species
AAUUCCCCUACCACAAAAGCAAACAACAUAAACAAUCAUAUCAACUUAGAUCCCCAUCCUAUAUUAAUAAAAAAUAUCAAAAUUUAUAUGCACCAAACAACAAAAAAAUUUCUAAUGUAUAGUCUGUUACUCGGCAAAAACUAAGCGCUUCUUCGCACUGUUACUCACAGAUGUUGUCCUUCUGGAAGAAAAAAAUUACCCAAUCAUCUGUUACCGACAUGAACCAAUAUGCAAUUUAAUAUGCAAUUUAUUAAACCAUUGAACUUGACUUUCUUCCAGUCAAGCUCCAAGUAAAGGAAAAGGGGGAAGAGGGAGAAAAAAGGAAAUAAAACAAUAAGCACAAAAUAGGAUAAAUUCUCACAAUUAAAUCCAUAAAUGAGCAAACAUUAAAUUCAAAUAUACUAAAUUUGGCAGACCACAAAACCAACAAAAACCAAUUAAUAAUUUCCCUAAAU